AACAAAUCUUUAGCACUAUAUGCCUAGUGGUUCUGUACAAUUUCUUUGUCAUGUUUUGAACUGUCGUGUAACAAAACUUGUUUAAAAGUUAUUUUCCUGUAGUGGCUAAGCUAUGGAUAGCAAGAUAGGUUAUUUAUUUUACUUUACUUUGCUUUCUAAGGGAUAAGAAUCUGGUAGUUAUAAUUUAUGAGAUCCUAUUGCUUGAGAUUAGUGUCUUGUAGUGCAUUUAGAAUCAGGAAGCCCUGUGUUUGAAUUUUCCUCAAAUGUCUGACAUGGCUAUAUGAUCCUGGAUAAGUCAUUUGACCUUCAGUUUCCUGAUUGGUAAAGUGAGGAUAAUAUAUUUCUUUUUUUUUUUUUCUGAUUUAAAGGUGAUCUAUUUAUUUAUUUUUAAAUUUAAUUUUAUUUUAUAAUAACUUUUUAUUGACAGAACCCAUGCCAGGGUAAUUUUUUUACAUUAUCCCUUGCACUCGCUUCUGUUCCGAUUUUUCCCCUCCCUCCGCCCCCUCCCCUAGAUGGCAAGCAGUCCUAUAUAUGUUAAAUAUGUUGCAUUAUGAGGAUAAUAUAUUUCAUAGGGUUGUUGUAAAAACCAAAUCAAGUGGGAUAAUAUAUGUAAAGUGCUCAGCACACCUUAAAGUGAGAUAGCAAUGUGAGUUGUCAUCUGUUUCACCUUGGGCAGAUCUAAAUCUCUCUGGAUUUCAUUCAUUUUGCUCAUUUCUUUCUUUUUUAAUUAAUUAAACACACGUUACUUUUUGAAUCGUGUUGGCCAUUUUGCCCAUUUCUAAAAUGACAACUGAGUGUCGGACUUGGAGUCUAGAACCCUGCAGUGUAAAUUAUGUGAAGUUAGGCAAGUCACUUUAUUUCUCUGGUGUUCGAUCUUUCUCAUCUAUGAAAUGAGACAGUCGGACGGUCAGAAAGCAUAUUUUAAGUGCUUGCUGUAUGCGCUAAAUGCUAGGGAUACAAAGAAAGGCAGAAACAGGGUCCCUUGAAGGGCUCCCACUCUAAUGGGGGAGACAAGAUGCAAACAACUAUGUAUAAACGGGAUCUAUACAGGGCAAGAGGAGGUAAUCACACCAGACACGUGAUCGCUAGACUCUCGGGGUUCUCCCUGGCCAGCCAACCCCAAGCCUGCAACUUCCUCUUUUUCUUCUCUUUGUCCUGCUUUCUUUAAGCCCUACCUUUCUACAAGAAAUCUUUCGCGCUCUUAAUCUCAGUGCCGACCCCUUGAGAUGAUCUGCAAUCUCUCUUGUCUGUAUUUUACUUUCUCCGUUAGACUGUGAGCUUUUUAAGAUAAGGAAACUGAGGCUGAAAAAGCGCAAGUGAUUCGUCCCCGUCACCCGGAUGGAGCCUGACGCAGGAUUCGGACACAGCUUUGGGCCCCCCUCAAGUUUCCCGGUGUCGCUAAGCCGGGACGCCGCUAACUUCGGGAAGGUGCACUCCCCGGGCCGGCUCCGCCCCGCCGCUCCGAGUCUGCGCCCCGCGCGCCUCCUGGCCACGCUGGGGUGAGGAGCGCUGGCGCCUGCGCGAAAGCCUGGGUCCGAGGGGAGAAGGAAUGACUGUGCUUGCGCCUGCGCUCACGGCACCUUGCACUGGCCCUCGCGCUCCGGUUCCCCGCCUUGCUCGGGGUCGGGCCGUUCCGUCCAGUGCAGGCGGGCUGCGGGGAGGGGGAAGGGAACCACCUGCCGGAUACACCCACAAGCGGCGGAGGGCGGAGGGCGGAGGGCGGAGGGCGGAGGGCAGCGGGCAGGGGGCUCCUCCAAACUUUGACAGUCGCCUCCGUGGGCGAGAGGUGCCUCUCGGACCAGCCCUGUAUCCGGGGCCUCGGGUUCGAGUUCCGCCUCCCUCCGGGCCCUCCAAGCAGGGCCUGUGCUGGGUGACCCAUGGGGUGAUCCCCGGCCGGGGCCCCGGGUUCGAGUUCCGCCUCCCUCCGGGCCCUCCAAGCAGGGCCUGUGCUGGGUGACCCAUGGGGUGCUAUCGGGUGAUCCCCGGCCGGGCCCCGUCCAAGGCCGGCCUCCCCGGAGCUGCCUUCUGGGUGGAGGCAUCCCGAGCCCCAGCAAGAGCCCAAGGGCCUUGGCUUUACGGAGUGCAUUCCCUCCCCAGGGCUGUGACGCCUUCUCCCCCCAAACACCGGGGGUGAGCCGUCAUAUUUCUAAUAUUAAAAUAAUCUGAUAUAGAGAAUCAUCCUGAGUGUUUAGAGAUACCAACUUAUUUUAGAACAUACUUUACAAAAUAAUCAAAAGAAUUCUUAUUUUUCAUCCAACACAGAAACAAAGUUCUUAAAUUUAAAAUGUUAUUAAACUCUAUAGUUCUGUGGAAACUGAAAAUAAC